GCCAUAGUGGCUGAGUGGUUUAAAGCAACGGACUUGAAAUCCGUCGAGGGUAACACCUCCGUGGGUUCGAAACCUACCUAUGGCG
rnacentral:tRNA from 1 species